GCCGAGGUAGCUCAGUUGGUUAGAGCGCAGGAUUCAUAACCCUGAGGUGACGGGUUCAAUUCCCGUCCUCGGUA
rnacentral:tRNA from 2 species